GAACGCUGGCGGCGUGCUUAACACAUGCAGUCAGGAGGAGCUUUCGGGCUUCGACCGGCGUACGGGUGCGUAACGCGUAUACAUCUGCCUUUCACAUAGGGAUAGCCCGAAGAAAUUUGGAUUAAUACCUAAUAGUAUAUAGAUGUGGCAUCACAUUUAUAUUAAAGCUGAGGCGGUGAAAGAUGAGUAUGCGUUCUAUUAGCUAGUUGGAGAGGUGACAGCUCCCCAAGGCGACGAUAGAUAGGGGUUCUGAGAGGGAUAUCCCCCACACUGGUACUGAGAUACGGACCAGACUCCUACGGGAGGCAGCAGUGAGGAAUAUUGGACAAUGGUCGGAAGACUGAUCCAGCCAUGCCGCGUGCAGGAAGACGGCCUUAUGGGUUGUAAACUGCUUUUGCAGGGGAAGAAUAAGGACUACGCGUAGUUUGAUGACGGUACUCUGCGAAUAAGCAUCGGC
rnacentral:rRNA from 1 species